UGGGUAUGUGUGUGAGUACGAGACACAGAGCAAGAAGUGGGAAACCCUUCUCCAUCAAGCUUUGCAAGAAAUCCAAGAAAUUAAGGAGGAUUAAGGCUAGAUUUUUUAUGCAUGAGUUUAGAUUCAUGAUCCCUGAAGUGUUCUUGACAUCAAGCGCGAAGAAAAAAGAAGGCACGAGUCAUUCGAAGUCACAAGCAACGCAAGACCACGGUAAAUCUCAUGCUUAGGAUGGCGAGCUUGGAUUCGAACACACCACAUCAUCCAUAUAUGCGCUUCCGGUUCAAGUUAUCUCUUGAAAUGGGUCAAAUAAUUUUUGUAAUGUAAAUGUAAAUUUUAUGAUUUAGGAUGUUCGUAAGUAGUUUGAAAUUUUAAAAAUCUUUUUGGGUCGUUCGGACAUAACCCUUGUGUUAAGUCUUAUAUGGUUACAACUUU